rnacentral:rRNA from 1 species
CGGCACGGGUGAGUAACACGUAUCCAACCUGCCGUCUACUCUUGGACAGCUUCUGAAAGGAAGAUUAAUACAAGAUGGCAUCAUGAGUCCGCAUGUUCACAUGAUUAAAGGUAUUCCGGUAGACGAUGGGGAUGCGUUCCAUUAGAUAGUAGGCGGGGUAACGGCCCACCUAGUCUUCGAUGGAUAGGGGUUCUGAGAGGAAGGUCCCCCACAUUGGAACUGAGACACGGUCCAA